CGGAGGAUCCGAGCGUUAUCCGGAUUUAUGGGUUUAAAGGGUGCGUAGGCGGCCUGUUAAGUCAGGGGUGAAAGACGGUAGCUCAACUAUCGCAGUGCCCUUGAUACUGAUGGGCUUGAAUGUACUAGAGGUAGGCGGAAUGUGACAAGUAGCGGUGAAAUGCAUAGAUAUGUCACAGAACACCAAUUGCGAAGGCAGCUUACUAUGGUAUUAUUGACGCUGAGGCACGAAAGCGUGGGGAUCAAACAGGAUUAGAUACCCUGGUAGUCCACGCCCUAAACGAUGAAUACUCGAUGUUAGCGAUAUACAGUUAGCGUCAAAGCGAAAGCGUUAAGUAUUCCACCUGGGGAGUACGCCCGCAAGGGUG
rnacentral:rRNA from 1 species